rnacentral:tRNA from 1 species
UCCCUGGUGGUCCAGUGGCUAAGACUCUGUGCUCCCAAUGCAGGGGGCCUGGUUUCAAUCCCCGGUCAGGGAA